rnacentral:rRNA from 1 species
GACGAACGCUGGCGGCGUGCUUAACACAUGCAAGUCGAACGGAAAGGCCCUUCGGGUGCUCGAGUGGCGAACGGGUGAGUAACACGUGGGUGAUCUGCCCUGCACUUUGGGAUAAGCCUGGGAAACUGGGUCUAAUACCGAAUACACCCUGCUGGUCGCAUGGCCUGGUGGGGGAAAGCUUUUGCGGUGUGGGAUGGGCCCGCGGCCUAUCAGCUUGUUGGUGGGGUGAUGGCCACCAAGGCGACGACGGGUAGCCGGCCUGAGAGGGUGUCCGGCCACACUGGGACUGAGAUACGGCCCAGACUCCUACGGGAGGCAGCAGUGGGGAAUAUUGCACAAUGGGCGCAAGCCUGAUGCAGCGACGCCGCGUGAGGGA